rnacentral:misc_RNA from 1 species
CAGCCUGUCUCGAUACAAAUUAAAGUUCAGUCCUGACAAGGUUGAUACAAUGAUAAUUCAAGCAAUUGGUUUGCUUGAUGAUCUUGAUAAAGAGCUCAACACAUAUGCAAUGAGGGUCAGAGAAUGGUAUGGUUGGCAUUUUCCAGAGCUUGCUAAGAUCAUACAAGAUAACAUCCUUUAUGCGAAAGCAGUGAAACUGAUGGGUAGUCGCGAUAAUGCUAUAAAACUUGACUUCUCUGAGAUACUUCCAGAAGAGAUUGAGACAGAAUUGAAGGAGGCAGCUAUGAUAUCCAUGGGAACUGAAGUUAGUGAUGUAGAUUUGAUGAACAUAAGAGAUCUAUGUGACCAAGUUCUGUCUCUUGCUGAGUACAGAGCUCAACUAUAUGACUAUUUGAAAAGCAGAAUGAACACCAUUGCACCAAAUUUAACUGCUCUUGUUGGAGAGCUAGUUGGAGCUCGCCUCAUUGCCCAUGGUGGUAGCUUGUUAAAUCUUGCCAAGCAGCCUGGGAGCACAGUUCAGAUUCUUGGUGCGGAAAAAGCUCUCUUUAGAGCUCUUAAAACAAAGCAUGCAACUCCAAAAUAUGGGCUUCUUUUCCAUGCAUCUUUGGUUGGUCAGGCAUCCUCGAAGAUGAAGGGAAAAAUUUCUCGAUCACUUGCUGCUAAAGCUGCAUUGGCAAUUCGAUAUGAUGCUCUUGGAGAUGGCCAAGAUAACUCUAUGGGAUUGGAGAACAGGGUGAAGCUUGAAGCACGGUUGAGGAAUCUUGAAGGGAGGGAAUUGGGUCGUUCUGCUGGGUCUGCUAAGGGAAAACCUAAGAUAGAAGCUUAUGAUAAGGAUCGUAAGAAGGGGGCCGAGGCACUUUUAAGUGCUGCAAAGACAUACAAUCCUUCUGCAGACUCUGUUCUUGGGCAAACACUGAGCUUCAUUGCUGGGAAUGAGGAAGAAAUGGUCCCCAAAAGACAGAAGACUGAUCAAGCUGAGGAAGCUGCAAUUACAGGUGAAAAGAAGAAGGAAAAGAAGAAGAAAACUAGCGAGGUGACAGCUUUAGUAACUAAUGGAAAUGGCAGUGCUGCUCAACUCGAAUCUGAGGAAUCUGUAAAGAAGGAAAAGAAGAAAAAGAAAAAAGAGAGAGCUCUGAUUGAUGAGGUAAAAAAUGAUGUCGACAAUGUAGAAAUGGGAGAGAAGAAGAAAAAGAAGCGAAAGCAUGCCGAACAGGAUGAAGCGGAAACUGAGAUGCCAAGCAAGGAGAAUAAGAGGAAGAAAAAGAAGAAAAGUGAGGAUUAAGAAAAUUCAAAAGGUACUACCCAACAAUUUUGGAUGAAUUAGGCAGCAGUUCAGUAAAUCCCUAUGUAAUAUUCGAUUUUUGUUUUCUUUAUUUACUCAUUGGUAGGUUUUCUUUACUUGUUCCUAAUUUGUCUGGGCAAUUUAUUGCUGCUUGUAUCAGAGG